rnacentral:lncRNA from 1 species
GUUGAAGAAUGUACCAUUAUAUAGAUUAUUACGACGUAACUAGGUUCCUGAUGGUAAGUAGUUACACGAAGACCAGUCCUCUGCUGUUAUAGACUACACUGCAAUAACAGUCUCACAUGUUCAUCUUUGUGCAUGAAUAAGAGCAAAACUGGAUGGUAAAUUGCAAUAAGUGAAAUUCCUGGCUCGAAGCGUAUGUUAAAGUCUUGGUAGUUUGUUCAUUGAAA